rnacentral:rRNA from 1 species
AUUGAACGCUGGCGGCAGGCCUAACACAUGCAAGUCGAGCGAGCGGCGGACGGGUGAGUAAUGUAUGGGGACUGCCCGAUAGAGGGGGAUAACUACUGGAAACGGUAGCUAAUACCGCAUACUAUCGGAUAACCCAUAUGGGAUUAGCUAGUAGGUGAGGUAAUGGCUCACCUAGGCGACGAUCCCUAGCUGGUCUGAGAGGAUGAUCAGCCACACUGGGACUGAUACACGGCCCAUACUCCUACGGAGGCAGCAGUGGGUGAUAUUGCACCAUGGGCACAAGCCUAAUGCAGCCAUGGCCCGGGUAUGAGGAAUGCCCUAGGGGUGUAAAGUACUUUCAGUCUGGAGGCGUUACCGACAGAAGAAGCACCGGCUAACUCCGUGCCAGCCGCCGCGGUAAUAC